ACUCCUACGGAGGCAGCAGUGGGGAAUUUUGGACAAUGGGCGAAAGCCUGAUCCAGCAAUGCCGCGUGAGUGAAGAAGGCCUUCGGGUUGUAAAGCUCUUUUGUCAGGGAAGAAACGGUGAAGGCUAAUAUCCUUUGCUAAUGACGGUACCUGAAGAAUAAGCACCGGUAACUACGUGCCAGCAGCCGCGGUAAUAC
rnacentral:rRNA from 1 species